CUCUGCAUGUGGCCUGAAGCUGUGUCCCCUCUGUGGCGGGCGGCAUGGCCCGGGCAUCUGGGACCCCUCUAUCCUCCUGUGGCUGCAUGUGUGACCCUUGGCAAAGCAGGGUGAGGCACUGUCUUGGGGCCAGGGUCCUGCCCUGCAGUGGGGGGUCCCCCGGAGGGGGAGGAGGAAGGAGAGGGUGUCGGGCUCAGGGGACUGGACUCCCUUGCUAGUCACCUGCCCAGGCCGGGCACUCAGUCACUCUGUGCCUCAGUUCCCAUUGUACCCGGGACCUGGAAGCUGCCUCCCGGGAAGUCAGGAACAUGGGGCAUAUUGGGGACGCCUUGAAUUCCUCUCUGCCCAGCUGGCGCUCGGCCCGUCCCACUCUCCCACUGGAGCUCCUGGAGCCAGCCCUGUGUGGGCACCACCCAACUCUCUCGGGCUCAGACCUGCUGGUGACUCUCUACGUUCGGAACCACCAUCCCUGGGGGUCUUCUCUGCCCCCUGUGUCUGCACAGGUGGCCUACCCAGGUCCCCAGAGCUCCUGUCCCUCAGGCUGGGCUGCCCUGGGGAAGGAGCACAGCCAGGAAUGAGGCCUGCAAACGAAACGCUGGUCAGAGGCUGCCCACCGGGCCACGUGGCGGGCGGCCUGCAGGCUCCCUGGGCUCCUGGGCACCCCUGGUGGCACUGGCGGUUGAGGAGAGAGGUGGUCCCAAGGACUAUGGUGUACUUCCUGAAAGUCUCUGCUCCUACACAGCAGAAACGAAUCAGGGUGGGUGUCGGCCCACGGCGAGGAGCUGGGGUGGGGAACAUGGGCACUGGGGACCCAGUCAAAGGCCGCAGAAGCACCGGAGUGUGCAGCCUGAGGCUUUGCCCCCAGGAGGCGAUGGGGUGGGGGCAUCCCCUAGGCGAACCUGCCCCGUAGAACAGCACGGCGGCCAGGGCCCGGGCAGGUGGGCAUGGAGAGGUGUGCCGGAGGGUCUCGGAUGCUGUGAAGACAUGAGAGGCGUUCAGACGCCAUGAAGCGUUGGGAUGCCGUCCUGUGGGCGGAGAUGCUCUGGAAGGUUCCGGCUGAGGGGUGACCCUGAUGGGUGUGGGCUGGGGAAGCCUCCGGACAGUGGCCGGCCUGGUGCCUUCGAGCUGCUCUGCCCCUCAUGGUACCAGGACCCUUGGGGCCCAGGUCUGCUGGGAGCCUGCAGCCUGCGGUGGGGAUGAGGAGGUGAGGGCCAGGCCCCG
rnacentral:lncRNA from 13 species